UACGUAGGGUGCAAGCGUUGUCCGGAAUUAUUGGGCGUAAAGAGCUCGUAGGCGGUUUGUCGCGUCUGCUGUGAAAACUCGGGGCUUAACUCCGGGCCUGCAGUGGGUACGGGCAGACUAGAGUGCGGUAGGGGAGACUGGAAUUCCUGGUGUAGCGGUGAAAUGCGUAGAUAUCGAGAGGAACACCUGCGGCGAAGGCGGGUUGCCGGGCUGACACUGACGCUGAUGCGCGAAAGCCAGGGGAGCGAACGGG
rnacentral:rRNA from 1 species